GAUGAACGCUGGCGGUAUGCUUAACACAUGCAAGUCGAACGGGAUAUCUUCGGAUAUUUAGUGGCGGACGGGUGAGUAACGCGUGAGAACAUGCCCUUAGGUUCGGGACAACAGUUGGAAACGACUGCUAAUACCGAAUGUGCCGAGAGGUGAAAGAUUAAUUGCCUAGGGAUUGGCUCGCGUCAGAUUAGCUAGUUGGUAGAGUAACGGUUUACCAAGGCGACGAUCNGUAACUGGUCUGAGAGGAUGACCAGUCACACUGGGACUGAGACACGGCCCAGACUCCUACGGGAGGCAGCAGUGGGGAAUUUUCCGCAAUGGGCGAAAGCCUGACGGAGCAAUACCGCGUGAGGGAGGACGGCUCUUGGGUUGUAAACCUCUUUUAUCAGGGAAGAAGAUCUGACGGUACCUGAUGAAUCAGCAUC
rnacentral:rRNA from 1 species